rnacentral:rRNA from 1 species
UUUACGUCUGCUAAUUGGAAUGAGAACAAUUUAAAUCCCUUAUCGAGGAUCCAUUGGAGGGCAAGUCUGGUGCCAGCAGCCGCGGUAAUACCAGCUCCAAUAGCGUAUAUUAAAGUUGUUGCAGUUAAAAAGCUCGUAGUUGGAUUUCUGGCUUUGGGCUGUGGUCCCGGACCUUCGGGUCUGUGUUGGCUGCACGCCCUUGCCAUCUUUUCGGAAUAUCUAGUGUGCUCUUUACUGCGUGCACUAGCGAUUUCGAUCUUUUACUUUGAAAAAAUUAGAGUGUUCAAAGCAGGCUUAUUGCUGUGAAUACAUUAGCAUGGAAUAAUAAUAUAGGACUUCUGUCUUAUUUUGUUGGUUUCUAGGAUGGAAGUAAUGAUUGAUAGGGAUAGUUGGGGGUGCUCGUAUUCAGCGGCCAGAGGUGAAAUUCUAUGAUUCGCUGAAGACGAACUUAUGCGAAAGCAUUCACCAAGGAUGUCUUCUUUAAUCAAGAACGAAAGUUGGGGGAUCGAAGACGAUCAGAUACCGUCGUAGUCUCAACCAUAAACGAUGCCGACUCGGGAUCGGUGGACGUUAGUAAUAUGACUCCAUCGGCACCGCAUGAGAAAUCAAAGUCUUUGGGUUCCGGGGGGAGUAUGGUCGCAAGGCUGAAACUUAAAGGAAUUGACGGA